GAGGGUAUAGCUCAGUGGUGGAGUGUGUGCUUAGUAUGCACGAGGUCCUGGGUUCAAUCCCUAGUAGCUCCA
rnacentral:tRNA from 1 species